rnacentral:rRNA from 1 species
AGCAGCCGCCACGGUAAUACGAAGGGUGCAAGCGUUAAUCGGAAUUACUGGGCGUAAAGCGUGCGUAGGCGGUUUGUUAAGUCUGCUGUGAAAUCCCCGGGCUCAACCUGGGAAUGGCAGUGGAUACUGGCAAGCUAGAGUGUGUCAGAGGAUGGUGGAAUUCCCGGUGUAGCGGUGAAAUGCGUAGAGAUCGGGAGGAACAUCAGUGGCGAAGGCGGCCAUCUGGGACAACACUGACGCUGAGGCACGAAAGCGUGGGGAGCAAACAGGAUUAGAUACCCCAGUAGUCCCUGUCUCUUAUAC